rnacentral:rRNA from 1 species
UGCGUAGGCGGAAUAAUAAGUCAGUGGUGAAAUCCUGUGGCUCAACCACAGAACUGCCAUUGAUACUGUUAUUCUUGAAUAUAGUUGAGGUAGGCGGAAUGUGUAAUGUAGCGGUGAAAUGCUUAGAUAUUACACAGAACACCGAUUGCGAAGGCAGCUUGCUAAACUAUUAUUGACGCUGAUGCACGAAAGCGUGGGGAGCGAACAGGAUUAGAUACCCUGGUAGUCC